CUGGUCUGUUAGCGUUCGUGCUUCUUUCUUUUUGCUACGAUCAGACGAAGGAGAUGACCCAAUCCAUCCCGUCAUCUGUUUCCACUCGCGUUUCUCUUUUUCCCUCUCCCAACCAGACGAAGAUUAAACCAGAAAGGGGCCACCGGAGGUCGACUACCCCCCACUCGACGGAUUUGCCACCAUCGAACCACCCUCCCACCUCCCUGAUCUUUCGUGUUUCUUUCUUUUUGCUCCGAUCAGGCGAAGGAGAUGACCCAAUCGAACCAGAAGAGGAAGAAGACGCCGAAGAUAGCCAUCUGUCGGUGCCCCUUCAUGCGGUUUACUCGAUCAUCGUCGGAGAUCAGGCCUUUCUCCAUGCUGUUUCGUUUGCUCGAUCUUUCCCCCGUUCCUUUGCUGAUCUGAUGAACAAAGAAAAAAAGGAACUCGUCGAUUCUUUUACCCAAACUUUGUAUCAAAUUGGCAAAACGAGUCCCUGCAAUUGUAACUUUAAAUCAAAAUCAGCCUUUGACCUAAAUCCUUACAAACUAGGUCUAGGCAUUACAAAUUGGUCCCUGACUUGAAUUAGUUUGACAGAUCAACCCCAUUUUGCAUUAAAAGACCAAAACAACCCAUUUUAAUGUAAAUUAAUACAAAAGUAGUCCCUUUUAAUUUAAUUUAUCCAAAGAUCAGUCCCUUGUGUAAAAUAAAUUACAAAAUAGCCUCUUCUUUUAAAUAUAAAAUAUUUGAAAACAAGUCCUUUUAGUUUAAAACAUUACCAAAUUAACCCAGAAACGUUUGAAAGUCCGAGAAUGGUUACGUUGCGAUUUCUCACGUGAAGUUUCACCAAAAAGCGAACCGUGAUCGAGAUUACGCUUCAAAUGUUAUUUAGCAGGUCGGAAGUGUUCGCUCCGAAGGCUCUCCGUUAUUUUUAUAAUACCUUUUUAAAUGCUGAAUUGUUAGACGCGUGUCUCGAUUUAGCAAUGGUCUUGCCAAUGUAAUUUCUAUUUCGGUAAUAAUAGAAGAUUAUAUUUGUGCUGUUCAA